rnacentral:rRNA from 1 species
UACGUAGGGUGCAAGCGUUAAUCGGAAUUACUGGGCGUAAAGCGUGCGCAGGCGGUUUUGUAAGUCUGUCGUGAAAUCCCCCGGGCUCAACCUGGGAACUGCAUUUGUGACUGAUGCUGGAGUGCGGCAGAGGGGGGAUGGAAUUCCGCGUGUAGCAGGUGAAAUGCGUAGAUAUGCGGAGGAACACCGAUGGCGAAGGCAUCCCCUGGGCCGCAC